GGGUUGUGAGGUUAAGCGACUAAGCGUACACGGUGGAUGCCCUGGCAGUCAGAGGCGAUGAAGGACGUGCUAAUCUGCGAUAAGCGCCGGUAAGGUGAUAUGAACCGUUAUAACCGGCGAUUUCCGAAUGGGGAAACCCAGUGUGACUCGUCACACUAUCAUUAACUGAAUCCAUAGGUUAAUGAGGCGAACCGGGGGAACUGAAACAUCUAAGUACCCCGAGGAAAAGAAAUCAACCGAGAUUCCCCCAGUAGCGGCGAGCGAACGGGGAGGAGCCCAGAGCCUGAAUCAGCAUGUGUGUUAGUGGAAGCGUCUGGAAAGGCGCGCGAUACAGGGUGACAGCCCCGUACACAAAAGCGCAUGUGCUGUGAGCUCGAUGAGUAGGGCGGGACACGUGGUAUCCUGUCUGAAUAUGGGGGGACCAUCCUCCAAGGCUAAAUACUCCUGACUGACCGAUAGUGAACCAGUACCGUGAGGGAAAGGCGAAAAGAACCCCGGCGAGGGGAGUGAAAAAGAACCUGAAACCGUGUACGUACAAGCAGUGGGAGCCCCACCACUAAGCCAGUGGUGAACUCCACAUACGCAUCCUUUGCUGAGGAUACGGUUAACGGAGCGAAAGCGACGUUCAACCGCAAAAGAAGCAGAGGGGGCUUAGUGGUGGGGUGACUGCGUACCUUUUGUAUAAUGGGUCAGCGACUUAUAUUCUGUAGCAAGGUUAACCGAAUAGGGGAGCCGGAGGGAAACCGAGUCUUAAUUGGGCGUUAAGUUGCAGGGUAUAGACCCGAAACCCGGUGAUCUAGCCAUGGGCAGGUUGAAGGUUGGGUAACACUAACUGGAGGACCGAACCGACUAAUGUUGAAAAAUUAGCGGAUGACCUGUGGCUGGGGGUGAAAGGCCAAUCAAACCGGGAGAUAGCUGGUUCUCCCCGAAAGCUAUUUAGGUAGCGCCUCGUGAAUUCAUCUCCGGGGGUAGAGCACUGUUUCGGCUAGGGGGCCAUCCCGGCUUACCAACCCGAUGCAAACUGCGAAUACCGGAGAAUGUUAUCACGGGAGACACACGGCGGGUGCUAACGUCCGUCGUGAAGAGGGAAACAACCCAGACCGCCAGCUAAGGUCCCAAAGUCAUGGUUAAGUGGGAAACGAUGUGGGAAGGCCCAGACAGCCAGGAUGUUGGCUUAGAAGCAGCCAUCAUUUAAAGAAAGCGUAAUAGCUCACUGGUCGAGUCGGCCUGCGCGGAAGAUGUAACGGGGCUAAACCAUGCACCGAAGCUGCGGCAGCGACACUCAGGUGUUGUUGGGUAGGGGAGCGUUCUGUAAGCCUGUGAAGGUGUGUCGUGAGGCAUGCUGGAGGUAUCAGAAGUGCGAAUGCUGACAUAAGUAACGAUAAAGCGGGUGAAAAGCCCGCUCGCCGGAAGACCAAGGGUUCCUGUCCAACGUUAAUCGGGGCAGGGUGAGUCGACCCCUAAGGC
rnacentral:rRNA from 1 species